rnacentral:misc_RNA from 1 species
GCACGUGUGACGUCAGUGACGAAGCGGGAAGCGGCGUCUGUGCGGCCAUUCUUGAACUGCUCUCGGACGGUUUACACGUACGUCCUAGCUUGAGCUCAUAUAUUGUGUUUUGUAUUUUUGUGAGUCUACACAGUACCUACAGCAUUCAUAAUGCCUCCCAAGACAAAGAUUUUCGUGGGCAAACUGCCUCCAACAUGCAAGGACUUUGAGCUACGCAAGUUGUUUGAAAGGUUCGGUGAAGUUACAGAAUGUUCCAUCCUUGGAAAUUAUGCAUUUGUUCACAUGAAGACAGAAGAACAGGCAGCAACAGCUAUCAGGAAUCUUAAUAACUGGGAUAUGAAUGGCUUUAAAAUUAGUGUAGAGCAAUCAACUGGAGAAAAGCGUGCAGGAGGAAUGGGUGGUAUGGGAGGUCGUGGAGGUAUGGGUGGUGGUUUCCGUGGACGUGGAGGUCCCAUGAGAGGACGGGGCAUGGGCCGACCAGGUCCUUAUGACCGGAGACCACCCAUGGGUGAUCGUUAUGGACCACCACCCCCAGGCCCACCCCCAGCACCUCCCAUGAGAAAUGGUUAUUAUGAUGAUUAUGAACGCCGUGAUCGCCGUCCCCUUCCACCAGCAGGAGCCCUAGACCGCCGACCACCACCACCAAUGCCAAGAGAGCCAGCAUACAGGGACCCAUAUGAUCGCUAUGAUUCUUAUGACCGCAUGCCUCCUCCACCCAUGGGCCGCCGCACGCCGCCACCAAUGGACCGACGACCUCCUCCCAUGGGAUAUGACCGCAGGGACGACCCAUAUGGAGAUAUGUAUGGACCAAGGCCAGAGCGUGACAUCUAUGGUGGUGGAAGGGACAUGUUCCCCCCUCGUGGCCGAUCUCCACCCCGCCGUAGUCCUCCACGCCGGUACAACUGGGAAUUGGGUGACCAGUGAGGUUUGAUCCUCAUAUAGUGGAGAAGUUGAGGCUGUGAUGUCACAGCAAAAAUGGUUUGAUGGAACAUUCCUAUGCCGAUCUAAAUGCUGGGUCCAGCGUCCUGACCUGUUGGCAUUUGCCGAGGUUACCUGAAUGAUGGGAGUUGCUGAUGGUGUUGCUAUGUACAUUUUUAAAUAAAGUUUCAUAAAUA